AGUAAUACAUCGGAACGUGCCCAUUAGUGGGGGAUAACCCGGCGAAAGCCGGACUAAUACCGCAUACGACCUACGGGUGAAAGCAGGGGAUCGCAAGACCUUGCGCUAUUGGAGCGGCCGAUGGCAGAUUAGCUAGUUGGUGGGGUAAUAGCCUACCAAGGCGACGAUCUGUAGCUGGUCUGAGAGGACGACCAGCCACACUGGGACUGAGACACGGCCCAG
rnacentral:rRNA from 1 species